AAAGAGGCCGGAAUAGCUC
rnacentral:tRNA from 3 species